rnacentral:rRNA from 1 species
CCUACGGGAGGCUGCAGUGAGGAAUAUUGGUCAAUGGGCGCGAGCCUGAACCAGCCAAGUAGCGUGAAGGAUGGCUGCCCUACGGGUUGUAACCUUCUUUUAUAAAGGACUAAAGUGAGGCACGUGUGCCUUUCUGUAUGUACUUUAUGAUUAAGGAUCGGCUAACUCCGUGCCAGCAGCCGCGGUAAUACGGAGGAUCCGAGCGUUAUCCGGAUUUAUUGGGUUUAAAGGGAGCGUAGAUGGGUUGUUAAGUCAGGUGUGAAAGGUUGCGGCUCAACCGUAAAAUUGCAAUUGAUACUGGCAGACUUGAGUACAGGUGAGGUAGGCGGAAUUCGUGGUGUAGCGGUGAAAUGCUUAGAUAUCACGAAGAACUCUGAUGGCGAAGGCAGCUUACUAAACUGCCACUGACAUUGAUGCUCGAAAGUGUGGGGAGCAAACAGGAUUAGAUACCCUGGUAGUC